rnacentral:rRNA from 1 species
AUUGAACGCUGGCGGCAUGCCUUACACAUGCAAGUCGAACGGCAGCACGGGUGCUUGCACCUGGUGGCGAGUGGCGAACGGGUGAGUAAUACAUCGGAACAUGUCCUGUAGUGGGGGAUAGCCCGGCGAAAGCCGGAUUAAUACCGCAUACGAUCCACGGAUGAAAGCGGGGGACCUUCGGGCCUCGCGCUAUAGGGUUGGCCGAUGGCUGAUUAGCUAGUUGGUGGGGUAAAGGCCUACCAAGGCGACGAUCAGUAGCUGGUCUGAGAGGACGACCAGCCACACUGGGACUGAGACACGGCCCAGACUCCUACGGGAGGCAGCAGUGGGGAAUUUUGGACAAUGGGUGAAAGCCUGAUCCAGCAAUGCCGCGUGUGUGAAGAAGGCCUUCGGGUUGUAAAGCACUUUUGUCCGGAAAGAAAUCCUUGACUCUAAUACAGUCGGGGGAUGACGGUACCGGAAGAAUAAGCACCGGCUAACUACGUG